rnacentral:rRNA from 1 species
GACGAACGCUGGCGGCGUGCCUAAUACAUGCAAGUAGAACGCACAGUUUAUACCGUAGCUUGCUACACCAUAAACUGUGAGUUGCGAACAGGUGAGUAACGCGUAGGUAACCUGCCUGGUAGCGGGGGAUAACUAUUGGAAACGAUAGCUAAUACCGCAUAAUAUUGAUUAUUGCAUGAUAAUUGAUUGAAAGGUGCUAUUGCAUCACUACCAGAUGGACCUGCGUUGUAUUAGCUAGUAGGUGAGGUAACGGCUCACCUAGGCGACGAUACAUAGCCGACCUGAGAGGGUGAUCGGCCACACUGGGACUGAGACACGGCCCAGACUCCUACGGGAGGCAGCAGUAGGGAAUCUUCGGCAAUGGACGAAAGUCUGACCGAGCAACGCCGCGUGAGUGAAGAAGGUUGUCGGAUCGUAAAGCUCUGUUGUAAGAGAAGAACGGGUGUGAGAGUGGAAAGUUCACACUGUGACGGUAGCUUACCAGAAAGGGACGGCUAACUACGUG